UGGCCCCUUCCACCUCCUGAUCCGUUAUUUUGUAAUUCAACAUUAGCUGUUUUUCCUGAGAGAUUUUGUGUAGUCCAUUUAUUUUCAAAAAUCGAUCAAUGUCUAUUUCUUUCUGCUUCUCCUGUGUAUAAAGUUGUUUGAAAUACCUCUGAAAACACUUCCUGAUCUCCACUGGGUUCUGUAUAUUCUUUCCUUCCACUUCCAAAUUCGUAAUAGUAUUGAGUUUUUGUCUUUUUUUCAUUUGCCAGGCCAACAAUUUUCCACACUUAUUUGCCGAUUCAAAUGUCUUUUGCCUCAUCUGUUUAAUCUUCCAUUCUAUUUCCUGAUUCAUCAGCUUCAUAUAUUGUACUUGGUAUAACUUUAUCUCUUUCAGAAUCUCCUGUGACUUUGGUUUUGCUCUCAGUUUCUUCUCUCCUUCCUUUA